GUCGACUUGGAGGUUGUGCCCUUGAGGCGUGGCUUCCGGAGCUAACGCGUUAAGUCGACCGCCUGGGGAGUACGGCCGCAAGGUUAAAACUCAAAUGAAUUGACGGGGGCCCGCACAAGCGGUGGAGCAUGUGGUUUAAUUCGAUGCAACGCGAAGAACCUUACCUGGUCUUGACAUCCACGGAACUUUACAGAGAUGGAUUGGUGCCUUCGGGAACCGUGAGACAGGUGCUGCAUGGCUGUCGUCAGCUCGUGUUGUGAAAUGUUGGGUUAAGUCCCGCAACGAGCGCAACCCUUAUCCUUUGUUGCCAGCGGUCCGGACGGGAACUCAAAGGAGACUGCCAGUGAUAAACUGGAGGAAGGUGGGGAUGACGU
rnacentral:rRNA from 1 species